rnacentral:rRNA from 2 species
AGUCUGAUGGAGCAACGCCGCGUGAGUGAAGAAGGCUUUCGGGUCGUAAAACUCUGUUGUUGGAGAAGAAUGGUCGGCAGAGUAACUGUUGUCGGCGUGACGGUAUCCAACCAGAAAGCCACGGCUAACUACGUGCCAGCAGCCGCGGUAAUACGUAGGUGGCAAGCGUUAUCCGGAUUUAUUGGGCGUAAAGCGAGCGCAGGCGGUUUUUUAAGUCUGAUGUGAAAGCCCUCGGCUUAACCGAGGAAGUGCAUCGGAAACUGGGAAACUUGAGUGCAGAAGAGGACAGUGGAACUCCAUGUGUAGCGGUGAAAUGCGUAGAUAUAUGGAAGAACACCAGUGGCGAAGGCGGCUGUCUGGUCUGUAACUGACGCUGAGGCUCGAAAGCAUGGGUAGCGAACAGGAUUAGAUACCCUGGUAGUCCAUGCCGUAAACGAUGAAUGCUAGGUGUUGGAGGGUUUCCGCCCUUCAGUGCCGCAGCUAAACGCAUUAAGCAUUCCGCCUGGGGAGUACGACCGCAAGGUUGAAACUCAAAGGAAUUGACGGGGGCCCGCACAAGCGGUGGAGCAUGUGGUUUAAU